CGAGCAGCAGAGCCGCCCAGCAGCAACCACAUUAGGAAGGAAUCGGAAACCAACGCUCCGCUGGCUGUCACCCCUUACCCACUUGCUGUCAGACCACAGCCUGAGGCAGCCAAACCCAUUUCCUUGGGGAUCCAGCGCAAACCAGAGAGUGUGGACAGGCCGAUGGAAGAAUGUUGGACCAGCUUUAAGAAUGGGCUGUUCUAAGUCAUGAAUAUUGUAGGAAGCAGCUCUAAGGACCACAGGGCUGGAGGGUGCACAGGAAGGGGCCAGUGCAUACAGGUGUCCAAACAGUGUCAUCCGGUGUCCUGACAUGCGGCCCCAAUGGACUGAUCCAGGGUGGAAAGGAAGAGUGAGAAGAAAUCAGACAGAAGAAUUCAGGAGAUGUGGCAACAGAGUGGAUGUAGCAGAAGGGACAUAGAGAGUGCCUAAAGAUGAGUCUUUGGUCAGCAUGUGAUGAAAAGAAUGAAGACACUGGGGAAGUGGGGAGCAGAAGCGGAUGUGGGCCCAGGAGGAAGAAGGUAUCACGGAACAGUCUCCACUCCAGGUUAUGGAUCCACUGUUGGGCAGUUCUACACUGCUCACAUCCGGAUGCCGAUUCUGCCAGCAAAUCCAUCUGAUUCUAUCUCUCUCUCCGGUCUGUCUAACUCUAGGUUCUGCACAUGUCUAACAUGUGGUUGUGUGAGUGCCAGAGUGCAAGCUCUUGGGAGGCAGGGGACACAUUUAUUGAUGUUGUAUCACCAACAUUUAGUACAUGCCUGCUAAAAAGUUACUGUCAACAUAUUUGUUGAACAAUGAUUACUGGAUGGGUGGAUGAAACAUCAAUAUGACUUGCCCAAGGGCAGUUAUGAAUGUCUCCAAAACUAUUUCAGGGGUAAUUCAUGAACAUGUCCUCUGAGGAUUCUUCUUCCAUCUCUAAGUCAGUUCCUAUGAUAUGACUACCUCAGGGCAAGAAAGUCACUGUGUCCCUGCUACAACAAAAGAUCACUCAUGUUUCCCGACCACUCAUGUUACCCUCUCUCUUCUCAAGAGGGCAUUUCCUUUCAAUGAUGUGAUUUUACAUACUGCAUGCCUGUAUCAAAACAUCUAAUGUAUCCCAUAAAUAUACAUAUAUCUACUAUGUACCCGCAAAAAUUAAAAAAAAAAUUUUUUUUAAAGAGGGCAUUUUGGCCAGGUGCAGUGGCUCACACCUGUAAUCCCAGCACUUUGGGAGGCCAAGGUGGGUGGAUCACUUGAGAUCAGGAGUUCAAGACCAGCCUGGUCAACAUGGUGAAACCCUGUCUCUACUAAAAAAUACAAAAAUUAGCCAGGUGUGGUGGUAGGCGCCUGUAAUCCCAGCUACUCGGGAGGCUGAGGCAGGGAGAAUCGUUUGAACCUGGGAGGCAGAGGUUGCAGUGAGCUGAGAUUGUGCCACCGUGCUCCAACCUGGGUGACUGAGCAAGACUCUAUCUCAAAAAAAAAAAAAAAAAAAAAAAGAGGGCAUUUCCCAUUUCUUUUUAUAAACUCUAUUCCAGUUAUGUUGAGUGUCAGCCAAAGAUCUGAGGUUGGUGUCCUGCAGCCAGUACUGCUGGAAUGGAUUGACAGUCAUGGGAAUGUACCAGGUAUCAUGGGGGCAGGCCCUGCUCUAGGUUAUGGAGCCACUGUUGGGUAGUCCUACCCUUCUCACAUCCAGAUGCAGAUUCCGCUGGCAAUUCCAUCUAGUCCUAUGAGACAUUCCCUGGAAAUGAUGUGCUCAUCCUCAUCAGCUACGUGAUGAAUGAAUCCAGGGGUGUUUGUCUGUGAAGUGUCUGCUAUCUCCUGUGCUUGAUUUACUGACGUGGAUGUUGUUCUCGAGGUGUGGGUUGAAGCCAUGAAAAUAAAUGCCUUCAAGGAAGGUAUGUAAGCAGACUGCAGUAUUGGAGGGUACUCACAGUUGGUAAGUAGGGCAGGGAAGAGGAAUGAGAAAAGGUAAGAAGGAGAGAGAGAAGUGAGAGAAUGAGAGUGAGGUAGUGACACUAGGAAAGUGACAUGUCAUGGGAGACAAAAACAAAAACAAAAAAAACGAGAGAGAGACGAAAUAACAGUGCCACAUCCUGAUAGAGUCAUCAAACUCUGAUGAAAGUCUAUUAAAUAUGGCAAUAAAGAGGUCAUUAGCAAGAUGUAGGAGAAAAGGUUUAGACAUGUGAUGAGUGAGAAGAAAGCCAGGAGAGAUGUGGCUGCCCAGGAAGGUGAGGCAGUGGUGGUGCCUGAUGUAUUCAAGUAUUUGGAUAGGAAAGAAUGUUGCCCUGUAGAGGAAAGAAUGUUGCCCUGUAGUGAAAAGAACCACCAGGUUCAAAUGAAGAUCAUGUCAAUGUGGGCAAAUCUCAGUACACAGGAUGAUAGGAGAAAAAGAAUCAGAAGAGAGAGGAUGUUUCAAAGGGAAGAGUGGCUGAGGGAUCCAGAUUUUUAGGAAAGGAUGGGAUUCAUAUGACUGAGGUCAGAAUCCUAGCCUAAAGUUGUAAAAUGAGGUCAGUGAAGUUACACUGUCAAACGCCAGCUCCCCAAAUGACCAUAGAAAACCCUUAGAACCAAGCAAAACUAAGGGGUAGAUAUUUACAGGGAUUUGUGGGUCUGGGUUCAAGUGGUUUAAGGCAAAUCUUUUUUUUUCCUAUGUCUUGUAAAUUUUUUUUUUUUUUUUUUUUUUUUUUUUACUUUAAGUUCUGGAAUACAUGUGCAGAACAUGCUGGUUUGUUACAUACGUGUGCCAUGGUGGUUUGCUGCACCUAUCAACCUGUCACCUAGGCUUUAAGCCCCACAUGCAUUAGCCACUUGUCCUGAUGCUCUCCCUCCCCUCACUCACCCCCUGACAGGUCCCAGUAUGUGUUAUUCCAUUCCCUGUGUCCAUGUGUUCUCAUUGUUCAACUCCCACUUAUGAGUGAGAACAUGUGGUGUUUGGUUUUCUGUUCCUGUGUUAGUUUGCUGAGGAUGAUGGCUUCCAGUCUCAUCCAUGUCCCUGCAAAGGACAUGAUACCACAUUCCUUUUUGUAGCUGCGUAGUAUUCCAUGGUGUAUAUGUACCACAUUUUCUUUAUCCAGUCUAUCAUUAUGGGCAUUUGGGUCAGUUCCAUGUCUUUGUUAUUGUGAAUAGUGCUGCAAUAAACAUGUAUGUGCAUGUAUCUUUAUAAUAGAAUGAUUUAUAUUCCUUUGGCUAUAUACCCAAUAAUGGGAUUGCUGGGUCAAAUGGUAUUUCUGGUUGUAGAUCCUUGAGGAAUUGCCACACUGUCUUCCACAAUAGUUGAACUAAUUUACAUUUCCAUCAACAAUGUAAAAGCAUUCCUAUGUCUCCACAGCCUCACCAGCAUCUGUUGUUUCUUGACUUUUUAAUAAUUGCCAUUCUGACUGGUAUGAGAUGGUAUCUCAUUGUGGUUUUGAUUUGGAUUUCUCAAGGUGAAUAUUUUAAAUGGGGAUCUGAUUGGGA
rnacentral:lncRNA from 1 species